ACACGACUACAUUAGAUACCCCGGUAGUCCUAGCCGUAAACGAUACUCGCUAGGUGUCGGCCACGGUGCGACCGUUGUCGGUGCCGUAGGGAAGCCGUGAAGCGAGCCACCUGGGAAGUACGACCGCAAGGCUGAAACUUAAAGGAAUUGGCGGGGGAGCACAACAACGGGUGGAGCUUGCGGUUUAAUUGGAUUCAACGCCGGAAAUCUUACCGGGACCGACAGCAACAUGAAGGCCAAGCUGAAGACUUUGCCGGAUUAGCUG
rnacentral:rRNA from 1 species